rnacentral:rRNA from 1 species
ACGUAGGAUGCGAGCGUUGUCCGGAUUCACUGGGUGUAAAGGGAGCGCAGGCGGAUUGGUAAGUCGGUUGUGAAAUCCUCAGGCUCAACCUGGGAACUGCAACCGAUACUGUCAAUCUUGAGUGUGGGAGAGGCCGAUGGAAUUCCUGGUGUAGCGGUGAAAUGCGUAGAUAUCAGGAAGAACACCGAUGGCGAAGGCAGUCGGCUGGCCCAUUACUGACGCUCAUGCUCGAAAGCGUGGGGAUCAAACA